GAGUUUGAUCCUGGCUCAGGAUGAACGCUAGCGGGAGGCUUACACAUGCAAGUCGAGGGGCAGCAUAGGGUAGCAAUACUCUGAUGGCGACCGGCAAACGGGUGAGUAACGCGUAUGUAACCUACCCUGUACAGGGGGAUAACCCGGAGAAAUUCGGACUAAUAUCCCAUAACAAUAUCCGGGGGCAUCUUUGGAUAUUUAAAGUUCCGGCGGUACGGGAUGGGCAUGCGUAACAUUAGCUAGUUGGUAAGGUAACGGCUUACCAAGGCUUUGAUGUUUAGGGGUCCUGAGAGGGUGGUCCCCCACACUGGUACUGAGACACGGACCAGACUCCUACGGGAGGCAGCAGUGAGGAAUAUUGGUCAAUGGGCGCAAGCCUGAACCAGCCAUCCCGCGUGCAGGAAGACGGCGCUAUGCGUUGUAAACUGCUUUUCCAGGGAGAGAAACUUGCGCACGUGUUGCGCAAUUGACGGUACCCUGGGAAUAAGCAUCGGCUAACUCCGUGCCAGCAGCCGCGGUAAUACGGAGGAUGCGAGCGUUAUCCGGAUUCAUUGGGUUUAAAGGGUGCGUAGGCGGACUAUUAAGUCAGUGGUGAAAUCCUGCAGCUUAACUGCAGAACUGCCAUUGAUACUGAUAGCCUUGAGUUUGGUUAAGGUAGGCGGAAUGUGUAAUGUAGCGGUGAAAUGCUUAGAUAUUACACAGAACACCAAUUGCGUAGGCAGCUUACCGAGCCGCCACUGACGCUGAGGCACGAAAGCGUGGGGAUCGAACAGGAUUAGAUACCCUGGUAGUCCACGCCGUAAACGAUGAUUACUCGCUGUUGGCGAUACACUGUCAGCGGCUAAGCAAAGGCAAUAAGUAAUCCACCUGGGGGAGUACGGCCGCAAGGUUGAAACUCA
rnacentral:rRNA from 1 species